rnacentral:rRNA from 1 species
CCUACGGGAGACAGCAGUGAGGAAUAUUGGUCAAUGGACGAGAGUCUGAACCAGCCAAGUAGCGUGAAGGAUGACUGCCCUAUGGGUUGUAAACUUCUUUUAUCUGGGAAUAAAGUGUUCCACGUGUGGGAUUUUGUAUGUACCAUAUGAAUAAGGAUCGGCUAACUCCGUGCCAGCAGCCGCGGUAAUACGGAGGAUCCGAGCGUUAUCCGGAUUUAUUGGGUUUAAAGGGAGCGUAGGGGGAUUGUUAAGUCAGUUGUGAAAGUUUGCGGCUCAACCGUAAAAUUGCAGUUGAAACUGGCAGUCUUGAGUACAGUAGAGGUGGGCGGAAUUCGUGGUGUAGCGGUGAAAUGCUUAGAUAUCACGAAGAACUCCGAUUGCGAAGGCAGUUCACUGGACUGCAACUGACACUGAGGCUCGAAAGUGUGGGUAUCAAACAGGAUUAGAUACCCCAGUAGUC